rnacentral:rRNA from 1 species
UAGGGAAUCUUCGGCAAUGGACGAAAGUCUGACCGAGCAACGCCGCGUGAGUGAAGAAGGUUUUCGGAUCGUAAAACUCUGUUGUUAGAGAAGAACAAGGACGUUAGUAACUGAACGUCCCCUGCCGGUAUCUAACCAGAAAGCCACGGCUAACUACGUGCCAGCAGCCGCGGUAAUACGUAGGUGGCAAGCGUUGUCCGGAUUUAUUGGGCGUAAAGCGAGCGCAGGCGGUUUCUUAAUGCUGAUGUGAAAGCCCCCGGCUCAACCGGGGAGGGUCAUUGGGAUCUGGGAGACUUGGGUGCAGAAGAGGAGAGUGGACUUCCAUGUGUAGCGUUGAAAUGCGUAGAUAUAUGGAGGAACACCAGUGGCGAAGGCGUCUCUGUGGUCAGUAACUGACGCUGUGGCUCGAAAGCGUGGGGAGCAAACAGG